UAGAGGUAAGCUUUGCUGAAGUGUUUAAUUUUUACUUAAAUGAAAUAAUUUUAUAUUAUACUUUUAA
rnacentral:tRNA from 1 species